AUGGCGCGGGGCGGCCACGGCGGGGCAGACGAUGAUGUGCAGCCCUACCGGCCACUGAAGGCGACGUCGGAGGGGGUGUGGCAGGGCGACAACCCGCUGCACUUCUCGCUGCCGCUCCUCAUCCUGCAGAUCUGCCUCGUCCUCGCCGUCACCCGCGGCCUCGCCUUCGCCCUCCGCCCGCUCCGCCAGCCGCGCGUCAUCGCCGAGAUCAUCGGCGGCGUCCUCCUCGGGCCGUCGGCGCUCGGCCGGAGCAAGGUCUUCCUCCACAACGUCUUCCCCAGGGAGAGCCUCAUGGUGCUCGACACGCUGGCAGCCAUCGGCCUGCUCUUCUUCCUCUUCCUCGUCGGCCUGGAGCUGGACCCGGCGUCGCUCCGCCGCACCGGCCGCCGCGCCCUGGCCAUCGCCGUGGCCGGCAUGUCCCUCCCCUUCGCGCUCGGCGUCGGCUCCUCCCUCGUCCUCCGGGCCGCCAUCGCGCCCGAUGCCCCAUGUGUCCCGUUCAUCGUCUUCAUGGGCGUCGCGCUCUCCAUCACGGCCUUCCCCGUGCUCGCCCGGAUCCUCGCCGAGCUCAAGCUGCUCACCACCGAGAUCGGCCGCAUGGCCAUGUCGGCGGCGGCCGUGAACGACAUCACGGCGUGGAUACUGCUCGCGCUCGCCAUCUCGCUCUCGGGCAACAGCUCGCCAUUCGUGUCGAUCUACGUGCUCCUCUCCGGCGCCGCCUUCGUUGGCCUCGCCACCCUGCUCGUCAGGCCGCUGCUCCUGUACAUGGCGCGCCGGUCCCCCGAAGGUGAGCCGGUCAAGGAGUCGUUUGUCUGCGGCGCCAUGGCCAUCAUCCUUGCUGCCGGACUCGCCACCGACACCAUCGGUAUCCACGCGCUGUUCGGCGCGUUCGUCAUCGGCGUGCUGGUCCCCAAGGAAGGCGCCUUCUCCAGCGCGCUCACCGAGAAGAUCGAAGACAUCGUGUCGUCGCUGUUCCUGCCGCUCUACUUCGUCUCCAGCGGGCUCAAGACGAAUGUGGCCACCAUCACGGGCGCCAAGUCGUGGGGGCUCCUCGUGCUCGUCAUCAUGACGGCGUGCGUCGGCAAGAUCGGCGGCACAGUGCUCACAUCGCUGCUGAUGCGGGUGCCGGUGCGCGAGGCGGUGGCGCUGGGGCUGAUGAUGAACACCAAGGGGCUCGUCCUCAACGAGGAGGCAUUCGCCAUCCUCGUGCUCAUGGCGCUCGUCACCACCUUCCUGACGACGCCGGCCGUCACCGCCGUGUACAAGCCGGCCCGGCGGCAGUCGUCCUACACGCACCGCACCAUGGAGCGCGAUGACGCCGAUGCCGACAGCGAGCUGCGGGUGCUCGCGUGCUUCCACGCCAGCCGGGGCAUCCCGACGCUGAUCAACCUGGUGGAGGCGUCGCGUGGCACGCGGCGGAGCAACCUCACCAUGUACGCCAUGCACCUGGUGGAGCUCUCGGAGCGGUCGUCGGCGAUCUCCAUGGUGCAGCGCGCGCGCCGCAACGGCUUGCCGUUCUCGGGCCGGCUCGGGCGGAAGGACGUGGGCGGGGAGGAGGUGCAGGUGGCGUUCGAGGCGUUCCACAGGCUGAGCGCCGUAACGGUGAAGCCGAUGACGGCCAUCUCCGACCUGGCCACCAUCCACGAGGACAUCGUCAACUCGGCGGUGCAAAAACGCGCCGCCGUCAUCGUGCUCCCGUUCCACAAGAUACUCUGCCACGACGGGACGAUGGAGGCGUGCGUGGACCGGGCGUACCACCACGUGAACGUGCGGGUGCUCCGGAAGGCGCCGUGCACGGUGGCGAUCCUCGUGGACCGGGCGCUCGGCGGCAUGGCGCAGGUGUCGGCGCCCGACGUCUCCUACACCGUGCUCCUACUCUUCUUCGGCGGGCCCGACGAUCGAGAGGCAUUGGCCUACGCCGCCCGCAUGGCCGAGCAUCCCGGUAUCGUUCUCACCGUGGUACGCUUCAGCGCGGCUGCUGCCGCGGCGGCGGAGCUCGCCGACGUGGACGAGGAAGCCAUACAGAAGCACGUCGUCCCCGGCGAGUCGGUGAGCUACGAGGAGGUAGAGGCGCGGGAGAGGCUGGAGGUGGCGGCGGCCAUCAAGGCGUUUGGGAGGGGGAAGAAUCUGGUGGUGACCGGGCGGUCGGCGCAAGCGAUACCCCUGAUGGAGAAGACCGACUGCCCGGAGCUUGGACCCGUGGGGAGCUACCUGGCGACAACAGAGUUCUCGGCGACGGCGUCCGUGCUCGUGGUGCAGCGGUACGACCGGAGGAAUGACCCGACCUCGGCGCCGGCGGACGAGGAGGUAGAGGACACAGUGGUGCGCGCUCCGAUGCCAUCUCCGGCCUACACGCCCGCCAGGACGUCGCCUGGUGAGCAGAAUAAACCAGCCGGAGGGGGAGUCGGUACGUGA
rnacentral:rRNA from 1 species